rnacentral:tRNA from 2 species
GGGCGCGUAGCUCAGCGGGAGAGCACUCCCUUCACACGGGAGGGGUCAUAGGUUCAAUCCCUAUCGCGCCCACCA